rnacentral:lncRNA from 1 species
GCCUGUACCCUAGUGCUUUGUAUGGCUGUGGCUGUUCAGCCCCUACUUCUGAUCCCCUAGGACUGGGAGCAGCCCGCCUGGGGGAGACCAUCAGGAUGUCUAUGGAAGGCUGCUUCAUGCUACAAGGGCAGAGUUAAGUCUUUGGUAUAGAGACUGGUUGGCAAAGUUGAAAAUGUUGCCCCAGGUCCUUUUGGGGAUUAUUUACCAGCCCCUGGUUUGAGUGUUGUCUGGCAGGACCCAGGCUCUGGGAGCUGAUCCUCCCUCACUCAAGGCCUGCUGCAGCCUCCCGCUGAGGUCUUGAAACCAUCAGGAGCAGUUGUUCUUUGGCCUCCGGGACACCGCAGGGCUGAGUUGCUCCCUGCCUGGAGGUGGUCCCAUGGGGCCCACUGUCUGGGUCAAGGAUGGUGCAGAGCUGGUGUCCUCAAAAUGCAUCCUGGUGGAGCCCCAGCAGCUGCAGGUGCUGACUGCCUCUCACGAGGACCCUGGGGGCCUGCAGCUGCAGCGACUCACCCAGCAUGAGCGGUGCCACUCAGUGUGCACAUGACAGAUGCUCCAUCCUCAGGAGAUGACAAAGACGGGAGGACAAGGUGAAGACACAGGU